rnacentral:rRNA from 1 species
GGGGUGCUCGAGUGGCGAACGGGUGAGUAACACGUGAGUAACCUGCCCUUGACUUUGGGGUAACUUCAGGAAACUGGGGCUAAUACCGGAUAGGAGCUCCUGCUGCAUGGUGGGGGUUGGAAAGUUUCGGCGGUUGGGGAUGGACUCGCGGCUUAUCAGCUUGUUGGUGGGGUAGUGGCUUACCAAGGCUUUGACGGGUAGCCGGCCUGAGAGGGUGACCGGCCACAUUGGGACUGAGAUACGGCCCAG